ACGAACGCUGGCGGCAUGCCUAACCCAUGCAAGUCGAACGAGACCUUCGGGUCUAGUGGCGCACGGGUGCGUCACGCGUGGGAACCUGCCCUUAGGUUCGGAAUAACUCCCCGCAAGGGGUGCUAAUACCGGAUAAUGUCUUCGGACCAAAGAUUUAUCGCCUUUGGAUGGGCCCGCGUUGGAUUAGCUAGUUGGUAGGGUAAAAGCCUACCAAGGCGACGAUCCAUAGCUGGUCUGAGAGGAUGAUCAGCCACACUGGGACUGAGACACGGCCCAGACUCCUACGGGAGGCAGCAGUGGGGAAUAUUGGACAAUGGGCGAAAGCCUGAUCCAGCAAUGCCGCGUGAGUGAUGAAGGCCUUAGGGUUGUAAAGCUCUUUUACCCGGGAUGAUAAUGACAGUACCGGGAGAAUAAGCUCCGGCUAACUCCGUG
rnacentral:rRNA from 1 species